rnacentral:rRNA from 1 species
CUGGUCGAGUCGGCCUGCGCGGAAGAUGUAACGGGGCUAAACUAUGCACCGAAGCUGCGGCAGCGACACUAUGUGUUGUUGGGUAGGGGAGCGUUCUGUAAGCCUGUGAAGGUGUGUCGUGAGGCAUGCUGGAGGUAUCAGAAGUGCGAAUGCUGACAUAAGUAACGAUAAAGCGGGUGAAAAGCCCGCUCGCCGGAAGACCAAGGGUUCCUGUCCAACGUUAAUCGGGGCAGGGUGAGUCGACCCCUAAGGCGAGGCCGAAAGGCGUAGUCGAUGGGAAACGGGUUAAUAUUCCCGUACUUGGUGUUACUGCGAAGGGGGGACGGAGAAGGCUAUGUUGGCCGGGCGACGGUUGUCCCGGUUUAAGCGUGUAGGUGUGUGUUCCAGGUAAAUCCGGUUCACUUUAACACUGAGGCGUGAUGACGAGGCACUACGGUGCUGAAGCAACAAAUGCCCUGCUUCCAGGAAAAGCCUCUAAGCAUCAGGUAACAUCAAAUCGUACCCCAAACCGACACAGGUGGUCAGGUAGAGAAUACCAAGGCGCUUGAGAGAACUCGGGUGAAGGAACUAGGCAAAAUGGUGCCGUAACUUCGGGAGAAGGCACGCUGACACGUAGGUGAAGUGAUUUACUCAUGGAGCUGAAGUCAGUCGAAGAUACCAGCUGGCUGCAACUGUUUAUUAAAAACACAGCACUGUGCAAACACGAAAGUGGACGUAUACGGUGUGACGCCUGCCCGGUGCCGGAAGGUUAAUUGAUGGGGUCAGCGCAAGCGAAGCUCCUGAUCGAAGCCCCGGUAAACGGCGGCCGUAACUAUAACGGUCCUAAGGUAGCGAAAUUCCUUGUCGGGUAAGUUCCGACCUGCACGAAUGGCGUAAUGAUGGCCAGGCUGUCUCCACCCGAGACUCAGUGAAAUUGAACUCGCUGUGAAGAUGCAGUGUACCCGCGGCAAGACGGAAAGACCCCGUGAACCUUUACUAUAGCUUGACACUGAACAUUGAGCCUUGAUGUGUAG